GCCGAGGUAGCUCAGUCGGUUGAGAGCGAGGGAUUCAUAACCCCUAGGUCGCCGGUUCGAUUCCGGCCUUCGGCACCA
rnacentral:tRNA from 2 species